CCCCGUGUUCAUGCUCAACCCUAAUUCGAUCCAGCCCUGAUUCGACCCAAUCUCCUCUCGUGCCACACCCGGUCUCUCCUCUACUUAUACACAGUCCCGUCAAUUUAUCCCUCCCUUCCUUGCUGUCGAUACGAUUGGAAUCGGCUCCUGAAAUCGGGGCGGCGAGCUGUGGAAGCUCGGCCACGGCGGAAGAUCACAAGAGGACGUCACGAUCAAGACGCGUCCAAUCAAACGAGCACUCGAGCAGAUCAAAUCAAAUCCUUCCCGAUUUCUUUCAAACUCUGAUCUGGUCUUUGGGGCAUCCCCUGAUCUUCCGUCUCUGGCCUCCCGCCGUCCUGCUUCGCCGCCCUGUUUGGGGGCAGAUCGAUGGCCGCGGUGUCCGUCCAGAUCGAUGGGCGACGACAUCUGUCUUUCGGGGCCUUCUUCGGCUUCAGGCAGGUGGUGCUGGCACACCCGGCUGAGAUGGCGCCGAAGGCUAGAGACGCGCUGCACCGUCAGCUGGUGAAGGAGAUCCGGCUCGCCGUGGAUUUCGUCGUCUGAAGCCAGAGCGCCUCGCGACCGAGGAUAUUGCCCGUCGUCCUCGCCUCCCUCCGACAAGGCCGUCCUAGAGACUGGAGUUGGUCCACAACCCGGUGUCCUCUGCAGUCGAAUUGGUCAGUAACAUACGACGCGUAAGGAAUUGGAGUCCGGUGCUCUGGCCAUGCCUGCUGGAUGUUGUGCAAUGCUAUUCGUCCAGGACCAGGGCUAACCGCGCCUCUCUCUAUGCACCAAAUUUGCCAGUCUAGGCAAUGCCGGAAAUUCACAGGAAGGUAGUGUUUCAGGUUCUGGACAAUUGCGGAUCUCUUCGUUUGCCUGCUUUUAUUGGGGUGACCAAUUUCUUUCUGAAUUAAAUGAAGGACUGGAUUAUUUCCUUGACCUUUUUGCAGGCAUAUAUUAGUACAGGUCUUGUGGUCCUGCCUUUGGCAUCUGGGCAGCAAAUACAGAUCUAAUAUUUCCCCCCUACAACUUAUUGUUGUUCAGAUUAUCAUUGUUGACUCUUUGUCCGUGAAUUCAUCAUUAUUAUGAUGGAUAUAUUGGCUUCUUUCAUAUGAUUUAUCUAUGAACAAUUAGAACCGCGAAAACAGAUGCUGCAGUGUAAAUAUGAAGCUAUCAGACUACUGACGGAGCGGAAAUUAUUAUACUUGAUUUCUUUCUAGAUUUUCAGAGUUUGAAGACUUAUUUGAAAUCCAGGCAUUAUUGAAAGUGACCUGGAGUCUGACACGAUCUAUACUAUUUUAUUCCAAUCCAGGUAUCAUUAUAAUUGACCUGGAAAUUUUUGAUGCAGCAUAACAAGUUUUGGAAGGAAUCUGAUAUCAUAUAACAAGCUUGAAUCUGCAAAAUACCUGUAAGGCAUAAACCUAGAGGCCCUCCAUCUUCUAUCAUCAGAUAAAACCUCAUAGUUUACCGUACCUGGUGUCCAUUGCUGAAUUUUAUCAAUGCUUGAAGCUCGUGUUGUAGUUUGCUAUAUUGGUGCGCAGACUGCAAGAUUUGAAUGCUUAAUUUGCUGACUGAAUAUGCCACGUUGAUUAGUAUACUGAGGUUGAGUAAGGACUGCAUGAUUAUGAUCCUGAUUAGCUUACAUCUAUUUGACAAUGGAAAACCACACUUGCAGAUAACUAAAGUUGAUAACAAAGGAGCAGCACUUCAUGGUUUUUAUUUUUGCUGGGAGAACUAUGCUUGAAUUCAGGAGAGUGCAUUCCACUAUAAAUUUUACUAUUGUUGUGAUCUUUCCGAAAUCUUGGACUUGAACCAAAAAAAUAGGGAUGACUAGAGGAGAUGAGCGGAGUCAGUCUUCUUCUUAGAGAAGGCCAAUUUCGGCUCCCACUCUUGCCGUUGAUGAAAACAAGCAGUGGCCUGGAAAUCUUGUGGUAAUUGGCAAACCUCAACGCUCAAGAUCCAUGUAUUUGCUUGACAAACGUUCUAGAUAACUUGGAGCUUGGCAGCUUAUACUUCUUAUUAUUUGCGUAAAUCGAUCAUGUGUAUAGGGAGGAAGCACUAAAGCACUGCAAUGCUCUGAUAUCUAACUGUAAUGUGCUAACUGAAUGUGCCACGUUUAUUAGAGUACUGAGGUUGAGCAAGGACUGCCUUCUUAUCUAGAAGAUCCUGAUUUGCUUACAGCUAUUUGCCGAUGGAAAAUCAGACUUAACUAAGUUGACAAUAAAGUAGCAGCAAUUCAUGUAUUUUAUUUUUGUGGAGAGGUACAGUGUUGACUGGUGUUGUUCUCAAAUCGACUACAGAGCUGUGAAACAAAUCGAUAAUGCCUCGAUGUGGUAUUGUGAACUUUUUCUGAACUUAUCAGUGGAAAAUGGCAAUCCUUUUGUUCAGUGUCCCAUGCAAGGAUGUGGUUAAGAAAAAAGAAAAACAGUUUGACGUUGGAU